rnacentral:lncRNA from 1 species
AGACUCUUACCCCCUCGAUUUAGUCUCUGUCACAGCUCCCGCAAAUCUCUUGACUUUCAGUUGUCCUCUUGCUCCUUCCUUCCACCCUGAGCCCACCCUUAGGCCUGUCUGCCCCCCGCGGGACCCUCCUCAACCAGGAGCCCCCAGCCGUGCAGAAAGCAGGGGGGGCCUUCCACAUCCCUGGUCUUGGCUGUCUCCCCUCCUGACACUCCCGACACCUCUCCCGGGGCCCGUGAGCCAGGGCCUGCAGGGUUGCUGCCAGCUCUCCUCCCAGGUGGGCAUCAUCGUCUCGAGGUGAAGAAGUGCAUGUCAAAGUCCCUGAGGCAGGACCUGCUCCUACUGCUCACAGCACACUCAGGCUUGUCUCUGAGGACUGUGCCCUCUUAGCACCUGCGCCACCCAGGAGGCAGCCCAGCACCUGUUUCUGCAGAGCAGAGGCUGCAAAGGGAAGGACGGCUCCAGCUCCUGCCCAGGUCAGACCAGAGCUUGGUGUCAGCUCCUCCUGAGGGACCCCAGCCCAGUGGUGCCCAGACAGGCUCUAGGUGCCCUGUCGCUGUGCCUUUCACACCAACCCCAGAGCCUACUCCUAGGACCCCCAGGUCCCCUCUCUCAGUGAUUACUCUGUACCUGGCUCAGUCCUAGGCUCCAAGAAUUCAUUAAUGGACCUAACAGGCAAAAAUCCUAACCCAUGUGCUCUGUAAAUACGAUGGUAGGUCAGGGAAAAUACAAUGUAGAGAGAAUCAAAAUCCAAAGUACAGGGAAAGUGAAAAGCAGCCAACAGACCCCGGAGUCCUGCAUUGUUGUUAAGGUUGACCUGCAUUUGGUGGUGUGCUGAGAUUCCUGGCCACAAAAGCAAAAAAGGAAACAAGAUACCCACGUGGCGUACCUUCCCCAUCGGCAAAACUGUCAGACCUGAUUCUCACUUUCUUUUUCUAUUCCUGAACUUGCUGGUUCCCAAAAGGAAUUUGAAGCUAUAAAAGAAACAGAGAGGGAGGUUUAUUUGGGCCAGAUCCUGCAGGGGCCUGAGUGCUAUGAUGAGGCACUUGGAAUCAAGGCACUGAGCACUGGGGAGCCAUGGACAGAAGCCAGCUCGGCGCAGAGGCCGUCUCUUGACAAUGGAGCCACUUGGUUUACACACCCAGCCCUCAGCCCUUGUUUAUGGAGCCCCUGUCACGUGAUGCUGCGGAACCAGGACCACGAGAUGCAGCAUGCCCAAGACACGGGAGACAGACUUUCCAAGCAGGAUGGGCCCUUACCACACCUGCUUGGCACCCUCCCCAUGUACACCAGUGUCCUACAGAAGCCCGCCAGCUGGACUAGACUCCUUCUGGUGCUGGGGCCUCUACUCUUAGUUGGUCUCUCUUGUUUUGGGACCACUUGGGUGAAGCUCUUUGCCCGUAGCUUCCAGCCCUACUGACCAGGGGUUCGAAGAUGAACACAAGAGCCAUGAUCUUCCAGAGUCUUCUCUGCUCUUGUGGAAAUACCCAAGUUCCUCUGAAUAAAAAACGCGAGGGUUUCA